GUUCUGCCUUAGGCACGAAAGCCAACUGGGUGACUUUGGGCCAAUCACCAGGAGACGGUGAGUUCUAGUCUCCCAGUAGCCAUGAAAGCUAGCAGGGUGACCUUGUGCCAGUCCCGCCCUCUCAAUCCAGCCCACCUCACAGGGUUGUUAUUGUGGGGAAAACAGGAGGAGGGAGGGUGUGUUGGAUAUAUUCUCCACCCUCCAUUAUUUGUAAAAAGAAUAAAAGCGGGAUAUAAAUCAAGGAAUAUAGAAAUAAAUGUUCUCAGGGACUCCCAUCCCAAAACUCAGCCAGGUAAAUUCAACUCAGUUAUAACUGGGAAAUGCUUCCUUGCAUGCUGCUAAGGCCAAAAAGGGGGAGUGGAGAAACGAGAGAGAGAAAAAAACUUCCGUACGCUCCGAGGCUGACAUUUUACUUAAUAGCUUUUUCUUCGGCUACGCUUUCUCGCAGCCAGGAGAUAGUUGCGUUGAAGGCGUCUCAAUUCAUGCCGCGUUUGUGAAUGUGCUCUGCUCGGAGCCCAUGGAAAAUGGAUUUUUUUAAAAAAAAUCUCCUGUCUUUUUUUUCAAAACGCAUUAGGAUCAUCGAAUGUUGCCCAGCCACAAGCGAUGUGUGCUAACAUUUAAUAGUGUGACGAUGGAUUGCACCUGUCUGUUAUUUUCUGCUGCGGUGCAACAACAACAACAGCAACAAAAAUCUAUCUGCAGGUCCCAGGAGAUCUUUGAGACCCAGAAAGAGUGCAGAGAAGAGCAACAAAGAUGAUUAGAGGGCUGGAGGUUAAAGCACACGAAGAACAGUUGCAGGAAUUGGGGUUGGAGGGGAAGCAGGCACGCUUGCCUUCGUGGAAGGAAAAUAGUGCAGAUGGAAUGGAAUUCUGGAAAAAGGAGCUGCUUGGCUCCAGGAAGCCUCUUUCAGACAGGGCUGUCCAACCUUGCAAACGUUCAGACUUGUGGAUUUCUGGCUGGGGAAUUCUGGGACUUGAAGUCCCCAGUCUUAAAGUUGCCAAUGGUUGGACGCCCUUGGUCUUAGAUUUCGUAUUGAUAGUCUUUGACUUAAACAUCUCAGGGGCUGCCCCAAAGAAGAGGGAGUCAAAGCACCAGAAGGCAGGACAAGAAGCAACGGAUGGAAACUCAUCAAGGAGAGAAGCAACCUAGAA